rnacentral:rRNA from 1 species
UCGAACUGUAGAGUUUGAUCCUGGCUCAGAUUGAACGCUGG